rnacentral:rRNA from 1 species
UACGUAGGGUGCAAGCGUUUGUCCGGAAUUAUUGGGCGUAAAGAGCUCGUAGGCGGUCUGUCGCGUCGGAUGUGAAAAUCCAGGGCUCAACCCUGGACCUGCAUUCGAUACGGGCAGACUAGAGUUCGGUAGGGGAGACUGGAAUUCCUGGUGUAGCGGUGAAAUGCGCAGAUAUCAGGAGGAACACCGGUGGCGAAGGCGGGUCUCUGGGCCGAAACUGACGCUGAGGAGCGAAAGCGUGGGGGAGCGAACAGG